AUCGUUUUUUACGAGAAACCGCGACGGCUCAUUACAAUGGCCAUGAUUUACUUGAUCUUGAUAAUCCUAAAUGGACAACUGUGGAAAAGCUAGAGCUAAUACAUGCACUAAAGCUUUGUCCUUACGGAAAAGCGCAUUUAUUAGAACAAAACCAAGCGGCUUCGGCUGCUUCUUGUUGACUCAGAAUAACUAAGCUGACCGCAUGGCCAAGUGCCGGCGGCGUAUCUUUCAAGCGUCCACUUUAUCAACUUGACGGGAGCAUAAUCGACUCCCGUGGUGGUGACGGAUAACGGAGGAUCAGGGUUCGACUCCGGAGAAGGGGCCUGAGAAAUGGCCACUACGUCUAAGGAUGGCAGCAGGCGCGCAAAUUACCCACUCUCGGCUCGAGGAGGUAGUGACGAGAAAUAACGAGGUCGUUCUCAAAUGAGGCCGGUCAUCGGAAUGGGUACAAUUUAAACCCUUUAACGAGUAUCAAGCAGAGGGCAAGUCUGGUGCCAGCAGCCGCGGUAAUUCCAGCUCUGCUAAUACAUAGAAUUAUUGCUGCGGUUAAAAAGCUCGUAGUUGGAUUCGUGUCGAUACCCUGGAACCCUUCGGGUGUCUCUAGGUGUUAUCGAUUUAUCGUAAUGUUCGGUCUUGAGUCCUUAACAGGAUUCCUGACAGGCGUUACAAGUUUACUUUGAACAAAUCAGAGUGCUUCAAACAGGCGUUUAGCUUGAAUGAUCGUGCAUGGAAUAAUAGAAUACGAUUUCGGUUCAGUUUUAUUGGUUUUACGGACUGAGAUAAUGGUUAACAGAGACAAACGGGGGCAUUUGUAUGGCCCCGUGAGAGGUGAAAUUCUUGGACCGUGGCCAGACAAACUACAGCGAAAGCAUUUGCCAAGAAUGUCUUCAUUAAUCAAGAACGAAAGUCAGAGGUUCGAAAGCGAUCAGAUACCGCCCUAGUUCUGACCGUAAACGAUGCCAACUAGCGAUCCGCCGAUGGAGUUUCAUUGCCUUGGUGGGGAGCUUCUCGGAAACGAAAGUCUUCUGGUUCCUGGGGAAGUAUGGUUGCAAAGCUGAAACUUAUAGGAAUUGACGGAAGGGCACACA
rnacentral:rRNA from 1 species